rnacentral:rRNA from 1 species
UACGGAGGGUGCAAGCGUUAUCCGGAUUCACUGGGUUUAAAGGGUGCGUAGGCGGGCAGGUAAGUCCGUGGUGAAAUCUCCAAGCUUAACUUGGAAACUGCCGUGGAUACUAUUUGUCUUGAAUAUAGUGGAGGUGAGCGGAAUAUGUCAUGUAGCGGUGAAAUGCUUAGAUAUGACAUAGAACACCCAUUGCGAAGGCAGCUCGCUACACUAUUAUUGACGCUGAGGCACGAAAGCGUGGGGACCAAACAGG